rnacentral:lncRNA from 1 species
UUCAGCUUCAUUUGCUCUGAAAACCCGUAAAAAAUAAGAACAAAAAAUUAGUUCAGAUUCAAUCCAUAGCUCAAAAUUCCAAGUAUCAUUGGGUUGUCAAUCUCAAGUGAUAUUUAGAAUCUUCAGGCAAUUUCUAAACUUAUUUAAAGGAAGAAUUUUGGUACCUAAAUUAGAGGGAUUAUAUUAUGUAGGAAUGUUGACUAAAGAAACCAUACAUUUUUCAACCAUGUUCC